GCCGAGCUAAGUAACUCUAGCUUGUGACCCGAGUGGGGGCAGUGAAGUGGCUGGAUGAUGGUACGGUCCUCUGGGCAUGGUCCACGCAUGCGUAUUCCAGGCUCGCCCGUUCAAAGUUAUGAGUCUGAACCUUGAGUCUUGGGCGAAAGCUCGGGCCUCGUGGUUCUUAGAGGUGAGGGCACUGCGUGAGGCUGGUUUAACAGAGCAGCGAAAACCUCCUACUCAUAACAGUUGAAGGAUAACGGGUCGGUGCUUCUUGGACCCAGAUUGCCUUGUAGGCCGAGUUCAAUCCGACUGUCACCUUU
rfam:Gossypium raimondii Chr04_contig_170, whole genome shotgun sequence.